UUCUCCAGGCUGCUACUGUCAAUUUAGAAAUCUCUUCCAACACUGUUUUUGGUAUACUAAUACUCAAACUGAUAAGAAAAGGCCCUUAGGGCAAUUCUGUUUCCCUUGUUAAUAUAAUCUGAAAGGGUGCUUUGCAGGUGGGGUCUAAUUGCUUCUUGGCAGGCGGAAUUAGCAUUUUCAAAGGCCAGAUGUUUUACAAAAGCACUUUCUUCUGAUUCCCCAGCUAUCCUUUCAGCCACACUUGUAAGGCAACUGAUAAACUCAGCGUAUGACUCAUCCCGGCCCUGGCGUAUUUUUGCCAGAGAGGAGGUGGUGGGCCCCUUUGGGGGGAGGUGCCGCCAGGC